rnacentral:rRNA from 1 species
UACGAAAGGGGGCUAGCGUUGUUCGGAUUUUACUGGGCGUAAAGGGCACGCAGGCGGUCUUGCCAGUCAGGGGGUGAAAGCCCCGGGGGCUCAACCCCCGGAACUGCCUCUGAUACUGCAAGACUAGAGACUAGGAGAGGGUGGUGGAAUUCCCAGUGUAGAGGUGAAAAUUCGUAGAUAUUGGGGAGGAACACCAGAGGCGAAAGGCGGCCACCUGGACUAGAUCUGACGCUCAGGUGCGAAAAGCGUGGGGAGCAAAACAGG